GGCGAUUGCGCUUGGAGGACUCUGUCCGCAAUUCUGUGUGUGUGAAGAAGGUUUUAGGACUGUAAAACACUUUUAGUAGGGAAGAAAAAAAUGACGGUACCUACAGAAGAAGCAACGGCUAAAUACGUGCCAGCAGCCGCGGUAAUACAAAUA
rnacentral:rRNA from 1 species